GUAGGGGGCAAGCGUUGUCCGGAUUUAUUGGGCGUAAAGAGCUCGUAGGCGGUUUGGUAAGUCUGGUGUGAAAUCUCCACGCUCAACGUGGAGGGGCCACCCGAUACUGCCAUGACUGGAGUCCGGUAGAGGAGUGUGGAAUUCCCGGUGUAGCGGUGAAAUGCGCAGAUAUCGGGAGGAACACCCGUAGCGAAGGCGGCACUCUGGGCCGGUACUGACGCUGAGGAGCGAAAGCGUGGGGAGCAAACAGGAUUAGAUACCCUGGUAGUCCACGCCGUAAACGUUGGGCACUAGGUGUGGGGCUCUAUCGACGGGUUCCGUGCCGAAGCUAACGCAUUAAGUGCCCCGCCUGGGGAGUACGGCCGCAAGGCUA
rnacentral:rRNA from 1 species